ensembl:lncRNA
AUAUAAGAAAAAGUCCAAAAUUUUUAAAGAGGGAAAGUGGCAAUUAGGGUGAACAUGUCAUGACGUUUCUAACUGUAAAGUAAUGUAAAACACAAGGGUGAUGUAAACAAGCAAACAUAAGGGCGCAUUACCCUGUGUGUGAGCAUCAGAGGCUCACUGUGCCGUUCGGAGAAGGCAAGGACGCCCCACUCCAGCACUCUUGCCUGGAAAAUCCCGUGGAUGGAGGAGCCUGGUGGGCUGCAGUCCAUGGGGUCGCUCAGAGUCGGACACGACUGAGUGACUUCACUUUCACGCAUUGGAGAAGGAAAUGGCAACCCACUCCAGUGCUCUUGCCUGGAAAAUCCCAGGGACGGGGAGCCUGGUGGGCUGCCGUCUCUGGGGUCGCACAGAGUCGGACACGACUGAAGCGACUCAGCAGCAGCAGCAGCAGCCGCAGCAGCAUUGUACCAUUCUCUUGUUUCUCUGUUUGAAUAUGUUCAUAAUCAAAAAUUACGAGAAAUAUACUUUCUGGGGCUUUGUGACCUCGAGUAAAUAGUUUGACCUGCCUGGGUGUUCAAAGUCUUUAUCAGUGACAUAGGUCUAGUGUAUCUCAGAGGGCUGUAAGGCUUACAUGAGGUACUCUAUGAAAAGCAGUUCUAAAACGGCAGAGCUCACAGGCCACCUCAUGCUCUCACUGACCAUGUCUGUGUGAAUGUUUCUUUGCUGAGGGCUUGCCCUGUGCCAGGCUUUGUGACACAUGUUGGGACUCUGAUGACAGAUGGCCGCUGCCGUCCAUGGCUUUAGUUUUCUAGAGGUUUACAUCACUGCUGAAAAUUUCACUAUUUGGUUUACACUGUUCAUUCUCUUCUGGGGAGGUGUCAGCGGGAAGACAGAUGGGGAAGCACCUCCUUAAAACGAAAGCAGCAGCUAAAGUUUCGCACUGUCUUCUUGGGCAGACUCUCUAAGUUUGUUUUGUCUUCAUGGCACAACAGAGUUCUCUUCCCACCUGUCUUCCUACAACGGUAUCACCUCGGUAUUGUCUCCGUCUUAAAUGGAGGCUGAAUUUUAACAUCGGUGUAUCUAGAACACACUUUUCAACUCUCCAGGAGAAAAUCCAUCUGUAAGGUAUUUAUCCUGGCAUCUGAAUUCCAUCUCUGCUUUGUAGGUCUGGCCUAGGGCAAGUCAUCUAAGUUAUACUUUCUGCGCCUGCAAAACGAAGGUAUACCUACGUGGUAUAAUUGCACUGGCAAUUAGAGAUAAUUUUUGUAAAGUCUGGUGUGCUGCUCUAUAAAAAGGAGGUUUUAUUGUUCAGGUCACUGUAAUUAGUGGAUAAACUGUCUACAUGCUAAAUUAACAUCUCUAAGGAAAGUGAGGGUGGAGCUGAACGGGACAGGUGCGUUAGGGGGUCCCUGUUAAUCUUAGUCUCUAUACAAUUAAUGAUAGCCUUGAAGAUACUGCUCUAAUUUGACGCUUUCUGAAACAUGUUUCAGCUGAAUUGUGUGUUCAUCUUCAAGCCAUCGUGAGCUCUGAGCAGCCCUCACAGAAGGACUCAGCUGAAAAGUGUAAGAGCUGUACUGAGCACUGCUUUCCUAAGUGCUCCUUGAAUUUUUCAACAAGAAGACUGAGAAUUUUUUGGUGCAAAUCAUCACUAUGCUUGAAAAAAAGUAAAAAUUUUGAAGUUGAAAAUUAUAACCAAGACCCGAAGUAACAAACACUCAGAUUUAAGUAUCUCUGUUUUUGAUGCACUUGGGGAAAAGUUGCUUCUUUCCUUAUAUUUCUCUGAAAACACUGCACCAGUGUAGCAGUGUUAAGAACUUAUCUAACUGAUAAGAUAUUUCUGGCUUAUAUGUUGGAUCCCAACUCAGAUUCUGAUUUAAUUAUAUUCCCUGGCCUUUUCAUAUUCAUUCUGCGUUUCCAUGAAAAACUUUGUGAAUGGUAUGCAGCAAAGAGAAAUAUAAAAGACUAUUGUUGCAUUCAUAAUUUUAAAGUAUUUAACAUUUCUGUUUACCUCAG